GCUGCCCUUGCCUAGGACAUACGGUGUCUUGUCCGGUGUUGCACUUGUGCAGCAGAUGAGGGACCCUAGAAAGGAAGCCACUCUGGAUUUUUAUACCGAGGUGAUGUCAAUUGCUGUGCUAGUGUUGAAAUAGUUCCUGUUACUAAAGGUGACUGUUUCUGGUCUGCUCAAGAUAGUUCAUUCCUAGCAUAUUCUGAGGCUGUUCUCCAGAACAAGUUAUAGAUGGAGGACCUGAAUUUGGUUCCCAGCAUCCACGUCUGAUGGCUCACAACAGCUUGCAGCUCCAGCUCCAGGGGACCUGUCACCUCUGACCUCUGAGGGCAUCCAAGCACAUGUGUCUAUAACCCCCUGUAUACACAACUAAAAAUAAUAAAAAUAGAUCUAAAAUAA